GCCUGUAGCCAUACCACCCUGAAAUCACAUGAUCUAGGCUGAUAUCAGAAGCUGUGUGGGGAUAGACAAGGUAGGGUUUGCAUAGAAAAAUGAAAAUGUGUUAAGGUA
rnacentral:rRNA from 1 species